AACGGCCUCACAUUGUGCUGGGGAAGUUCAAGUUGGAUACUGGGGAAACGUUCUUCUCCAUAAGAGCGGUGCUGCAGCGGCACAGGCUGCCCAUGGAGGUGGUGCAGUCACCAUCCCUGGAGGUGUUCCAGAGCUGUGUGAAUGUGGCACUGAGGACAUGGUCAGUGGGCAUGGUGAGGAUGGGCUGGCGGUUGGA